AUUGAACGCUGGCGGAAUGCUUUACACAUGCAAGUCGAACGGCAGCACGGGGGCAACCCUGGUGGCGAGUGGCGAACGGGUGAGUAAUACAUCGGAACGUGCCCGGUCGUGGGGGAUAACGCAGCGAAAGUUACGCUAAUACCGCAUACGAUCUGAGGAUGAAAGCGGGGGACCUUCGGGCCUCGCGCGAUCGGAGCGGCCGAUGUCAGAUUAGGUAGUUGGUGGGGUAAAGGCCUACCAAGCCGACGAUCUGUAGCUGGUCUGAGAGGACGACCAGCCACACUGGGACUGAGACACGGCCCAGACUCCUACGGGAGGCAGCAGUGGGGAAUUUUGGACAAUGGGCGCAAGCCUGAUCCAGCCAUUCCGCGUGCAGGACGAAGGCCUUCGGGUUGUAAACUGCUUUUGUAUGGAACGAAAAGGCUCUGGCUAAUACCUGGGGCUCAUGACGGUACCGUAAGAAUAAGCACCGGCUAACUACGUG
rnacentral:rRNA from 1 species